GGAAUAUUGGGCAAUGGAGGAAACUCUGACCCAGCGACGCCGCGUGAGGGAUGAAGGCCUUCGGGUUGUAAACCUCUUUCAGUAGGGAAGAAGCGAAAGUGACGGUACCUACAGAAGAAGCACCGGCUAACUAUGCGCCAGCAGCCGCGGUAAUACAUAGGGUGCAAGCGUUGUCCGGAAUUAUUGGGCGUAAAGAGCUCGUAGGUCGUUUGUCGCGUCGAUUGUGAAAAUCCGAGGCUCAACCUCAGACCUGCAGUCGAUACGGGCAAACUAGAGUGUGGUAGGGGAGACUGGAAUUCCUGGUGUAGCGGUGGAAUGCGCAGAUAUCAGGAGGAACACCGAUGGCGAAGGCAGGUCUCUGGGCCAUAACUGACACUGAGGAGCGAAAGUGCGGGGAGCGAACAGGAUUAGAUACCCUGGUAGUCCGCACCGUAAACGGUGGGCACUAGUUGUGGGAACCUUCCACGGUUUCCGCGACGCAGCAAACGCAUUAAGUGCCCCGCCUGGGGAGUACGAUCGCAAGAUUAAAACUCAAAUGAAUUGACGG
rnacentral:rRNA from 1 species